rnacentral:ncRNA from 1 species
CAUUAAAAGGGUUUGAUCCUGGCCCAGGAUGAACGCUGGCGGCGUGGAUAAUGCAUGCAAGUCGAACGAAAUAUAUUAAUUUAAUAUGUUUAGUGGCAGACGGGGUAGUAACACGUAGGAACUUACCCCAGAGACGGAUAUAAUCCGCCGAAAGGCGGACUAAUUCCCGAUAGUCUCCGAGCGCAAGCGAGGAGUAAAACACUUAGAUUGGCUCUGGGAGAGGCCUGCGGGCUAUCAGCUUGUUGGCGAGGUAAUGGCUCACCAAGGCUACGACGGCUAGGGGGCGUGAGAGCGCGACCCCCACCAAUGGAACUGCGACACGGUCCAUACACCUACGGGUGGCAGCAGCCGAGAAUAUUGGUCAAUGGGCGAAAGCCUGAACCAGCGACGCCGCGUGCAGGACGAAGUCCUUCGGGACGUAAACUGCUUUUUUAGGGGAGGAACGAAAGUGACUGUACCUUAAGAAUAAGGGCUUGCUAACCUCGUGCCAGCAGCCGCGGUA